rfam:Tetraodon nigroviridis, WGS project CAAE01000000 data, contig: CNS0BO6V, chromosome: undetermined
ACAAAGGCUCUUUUAAGAGCCCCUCAAACCUUCUAACAGAAGCUUU